rnacentral:rRNA from 1 species
GACGAACGCUGGCGGCGUGCCUAACACAUGCAAGUCGAGCGAGUGAAUUUCCUUCGGGAUUGAAGCUAGCGGCGGACGGGUGAGUAACACGUGGGCAACCUGCCUCAUAGAGGGGAAUAGCCUUUCGAAAGGAAGAUUAAUACCGCAUAAGAUUGUAGCUUCGCAUGAAGUAGCAAUUAAAGGAGCAAUCCGCUAUGAGAUGGGCCCGCGGCGCAUUAGCUAGUUGGUGAGGUAACGGCUCACCAAGGCGACGAUGCGUAGCCGACCUGAGAGGGGGAUCAGCCACAUUGGGACGGAGACACGGCCCAGACUCCUACGGGAGGCAGCAGUGGGGAAUAUUGCACAAUGGGGGAAACCCUGAUGCAGCAACGCCGCGUGAGUGAUGACGGCCUUCGGGUUGUAAAGCUCUGUCUUCAGGGACGAUAAUGACGGUACCUGAGGAGGAAGCCACGGCUAACUACGUGCCAGCCGCCGCAGUAA